GUCCCUGUAGCGCAUUGCAUAGCGCGCGCGUUGGACUUCUAAUCCAAAGGUCGUAGGUUCGCAUCCCACUUGGGAUG